rnacentral:misc_RNA from 1 species
CAACUUGCAAGUAGUCAGUUCAGGCAGGAAACUUCUCUUAAACUGCAGAAAAUCAAUUCAAAAUUGUCUUCUAAAAUCAACAUGGGUCUAUAUAUAUAUAUAUAUAACAUCAUUUGGUCACACUUCUAAGCAUAGAAAAACAAAGCUAAACAAAGCUUAUCAUUUCUUCAUCAGUCACUGUUUUUCUUCUUUCUGUUAGCACGAAGUCUUAAUCCAUCAAUUGCUCAAAUGGGUAGUUUGGGUCAUCAGCUGCACAUUUUUUUCUUUCCCUUCAUGGCUCAUGGCCAUAUGAUUCCAACAGUAGAUAUGGCCAAGCUAUUUGCUUCGCGAGGCCUAAAGACUACUAUUAUCACCACUCCUCUCAAUUCACUUCUCUUCUCCAAAACAAUCGAAAGAAACAAAAAUUUCGGUAUAAAUGUUGAUCUUCGUAUCCUGAAGUUCCCUUCAGUGGAGGCUGGACUACCAGAAGGAUGUGAAAACGUGGAUUCCAUCACUCCCCAUGAGAAUGGUGGAAUUCACUUGAUCAAAAAUUUUUUGCAGGCCACAUCCAUGCUCCAAGAACCUCUUGAAAAGCUCCUCCAAGAAUGCCACCCCGAUUGCCUUGUUGCUGAUAUGUUCUUUCCGUGGGCUACUGAUGCAGCUGCCAAAUUUGGAAUCCCAAGAUUAGUGUUUCAUGGAACUAGUUUCUUUUCCUUAUGCACCCGAGAUUGUAUCAACCAAUACCAGCCACACAAGAAAGUCUCCUCAGAUUCAGAACCCUUUCUUGUGCCUUAUCUUCCUGGCGAGAUAAAGUUGACAAGAAAGCAACUCCCGGAAACUGAGAGACAAGAGGAUGAAACUGACCUUACCAAGUUGGUGAAAGCAUCCAUAGAAUCAGAAUCAAAGAGUUUUGGGGUUCUUGUCAACAGUUUCUAUGAGCUAGAACCUGCUUAUGCUGAUUAUUACAGGAAGGUCUUGGGCAGAAGGGCAUGGCAUAUUGGCCCAGUUUCGCUAUGCAACAGGGGAAUUGAAGAUAAAGCACAAAGAGGAAAAGAAUCGUCGAUUGGUGAGCAUGAGUGUUCGAAAUGGCUUGAUUCCAAGAAACCCAAUUCUGUUAUUUACAUAUGUUUUGGAAGUGUGGCCAACUUCACUGCCUCUCAGCUUGUGGAGAUUGCAAUAGCUCUUGAAGCUUCCAGGCAGCAAUUCAUUUGGGUAGUGAGGAGAGAGAAGAACAAUCAAGAAGAUGAAGAACAGUGGUUACCUGAAGGAUUUGAGGAAAGAAUGGAAGGGAAGGGUCUCAUUAUAAGAGGAUGGGCACCACAAGUGUUGAUUCUUGAUCAUGAGGCCAUUGGAGGAUUUGUGACACAUUGCGGAUGGAAUUCUACACUUGAAGGUAUAACUGCAGGAAAGCCAAUGGUGACAUGGCCUGUAUCUGCUGAGCAAUUUUACAAUGAGAAGUUGGUGAUAGAGGUUUUGAAGAUUGGGAUUGGUGUUGGCGCUAAGGAAUGGGUUAAAUGGCAUGGAGAUCAUGUUGAAAGCAAAGCUAUAGAGAAAGCAAUCACUCGAAUUAUGGUGGGUCAAGAAGCAGAGGAAAUGAGAAGCAGAUCAAAGAAGUUAGGAGAGAUGGCAAGACAAGCUGUUGAAGAAGGUGGAUCCUCUUACUCUGAUUUCAACGCUUUGGUUGAAGAGCUGAGCGGGCGUCGUACGUGAAAAAACAUGGGGACAAUUUGUAAGUUCUUAGGCAGACUAAGUUUGUAAGUCUGCUAUAGAUUAGCGUAAUAAAAAUUUGUCAUGACAUGCAAACUCUGAUGUAUUAUGCACCAUUUCAUAUUACGAAGGAAAAUUUCAAGUGUUCU